AGCGAACGCUGGCGGCAGGCCUAACACAUGCAAGUCGAACGAAGUCUUCGGACUUAGUGGCGGACGGGUGAGUAACACGUGGGAACGUGCCUUUAGGUUCGGAAUAACUCAGGGAAACUUGUGCUAAUACCGAAUGUGCCCCUCGGGGGAAAGAUUUAUCGCCUUUAGAGCGGCCCGCGUCUGAUUAGCUAGUUGGUGAGGUAAAGGCUCACCAAGGCUACGAUCAGUAGCUGGUCUGAGGGGAUGACCAGCCACAUUGGGACUGAGACACGGCCCAAACUCCUACGGGAGGCAGCAGUGGGGAAUCUUGCGCAAUGGGCGAAAGCCUGACGCAGCCAUGCCGCGUGGAUGAUGAAGGUCUUAGGAUUGUAAAAUCCUUUCACCGGUGAAGAUAAUGACUGUAGCCGGAGAAGAAGCCCCGGCUAACUUCGUGCCAGCCGCCGCGGUAACAC
rnacentral:rRNA from 1 species